rnacentral:rRNA from 1 species
AAGGUUUUCGGAUCGUAAAACUCUGUUGUUAGAGAAGAACAAGGAUGAGAGUAGAACGUUCAUCCCUUGACGGUAUCUAACCAGAAAGCCACGGCUAACUACGUGCCAGCAGCCGCGGUAAUACGUAGGUGGCAAGCGUUGUCCGGAUUUAUUGGGCGUAAAGCGAGCGCAGGCGGUUUCUUAAGUCUGAUGUGAAAGCCCCCGGCUCAACCGGGGAGGGUCAUUGGAAACUGGGAGACUUGAGUGCAGAAGAGGAGAGUGGAAUUCCAUGUGUAGCGGUGAAAUGCGUAGAUAUAUGGAGGAACACCAGUGGCGAAGGCGGCUCUCUGGUCUGUAACUGACGCUGAGGCUCGAAAGCGUGGGGAGCGAACAGGAUUAGAUACCCUGGUAGUCCACGCCGUAAACGAUGAGUGCUAAGUGUUGGAGGGUUUCCGCCCUUCAGUGCUGCAGCAAACGCAUUAAGCACUCCGCCUGGGGAGUACGACCGCAAGGUUGAAACUCAAAGGAAUUGACGGGGGCCCGCACAAGCGGUGGAGCAUGUGGUUUAAUUCGAAGCAACGCGAAGAACCUUACCAGGUCUUGACAUCCUUUGACCACUCUAGAGAUAGAGCUUCCCCUUCGGGGGGCAAAGUGACAGGUGGUGCAUGGUUGUCGUCAGCUCGUGUCGUGAGAUGUUGGGUUAAGUCCCGCAACGAGCGCAACCCUUAUUGUUAGUUGCCAUCAUUUAGUUGGGCACUCUAGCGAGACUGCCGGUGACAAACCGGAGGAAGGUGGGGAUGACGUCAAAUCAUCAUGCCCCUUAUGACCUGGGCUACACACGUGCUACAAUGGGAAGUACAACGAGUUGCGAAGUCGCGAGGCUAAGCUAAUCUCUUAAAGCUUCUCUCAGUUCGGAUUGUAGGCUGCAACUCGCCUACAUGAAGCCGGAAUCGCUAGUAAUCGCGGAUCAGCACGCCGCGGUGAAUACGUUCCCGGGCCUUGUACACACCGCCCGUCACACCACGAGAGUUUGUAACACCCGAAGUCGGUGAGGUAACCUUUUUGGAGCCAGCCGCCUAAGGUGGGAUAGAUGAUUGGGGUGAAGUCGUAACAAGGUAGCCGUAUCGG